GGGUAGUCGUCUGUGGAAAAGAGGGACCGCUAAGGUCGAGAAGGGACUGUCCCUCCUUGCUAGGAUGUCCCUCUGCUUCUGACCCAAGGCUGGUCUCAGAGGUACUGAAGGAGGAGCUGCCCAGCACCGGGCCCUCAUGGACAUGACUGAGUCUGAACCAGAGGAUCAGGGCCAAGCAUGAGUUCUUCCUCCCUGCACACCCUAGACCCUCAGGCAAUGGCAGAUGGCAGACAAUGGCCGCUUCCAUCUUCUGUCUGUACUGUCCUAGGGUCUUGGAUCAGAAGCUUCCCCCCACCUGGGCUGAGACCUUCUCCCUUCCCACAGGCCUGGCUUAUCCACGUCCAUUCCCUGAGAGAUGCUGGAGCCAACCUACAUGGGAGUGGCUUGGUGAAGAUCAAAGGUGCCCCUCAGGCAUCAGGAGAAGGAGUCACAGGGAUGAGAAAAGAUACUUCCAGCCUUCUGGUGGCUUAGGUUGAGGGAAGGCAGUGAAGGGAGGGUGGGAGACACCAGGGUCCCAGGAUGCCAGGGUUCAGCUGGUCCAAUGCAUGCCAGCUUCACAUGUACGAUCUAUAUUAUAAAGCCUGCUUUCUGAAGGAGGAGGGAGAGGACAAAGGAAGAAGGGAAUUUGGAACUCAGAAUUUUUUUUUAAAUUCAUGUUAAAAAUUGUUAUUAGGUAUAGUCGAGAAAAAGAAAACAUUUUCCCUAACACCAGUGAUGUCCUCUGUUCAUCAGAGUCCGGACAUUUUCAAGCCUCAGAGUGCCACCUAGGGGUUUGGACUCCUGUUGCAUCAGAACUGAACUUGAGGUCAUUCACAUUUCUCCCAGAAUGAAGUUUCUAUUGGCCCAGACCAUUUUCUUAGAAGUCACCGACUGUUUCUGAAUAGGGAAGAUACAGUUAAACAUGAACCCUAGAAAGACUGUAUCGGCAGAAGCUGAAAGGCCAAAUAGGAGGAAAAGAUCAUUGUCCACAUGAGAAGGGAUGAGGGCUUGAACGAGGGUGCUGGCCCCAUAAAUAGAUAAAGGGUGACAGAAUCACAAAAAUCCAAAUUCACCAGUUGGAAAGGCCAACUGUAGUGCCUCAUCCAUGAGGGGAAGAUCCUCAAUAACUUCCCAGGAAAGUGGCUGUUCAGCCUCUGCAUGAAGAACCUCCAAGACGGGAGGUGUUUCUCAAGGAAACCCCUUCUGCUUUGGUCUAGCUUUCACUGGGAGGAAGUCUUUCCUGACAUCAAACCUAAAUGAGCCUCCUCAUAUCUUCCAUCUACGGUUCCUGGUUCUGCCCUCUGGGGUCAAAAUAUGACUAAUCUGAGCCCUCUUCCACAUGACAGCUCUUCUAGGACUUGACUAUCAUGUCCUUCCUGAGUUUUCUUUUCUCCAGACCAAAUUUUCUUCAGUCCUUCAGUCAAUAUUCCUAUGACAUAGACUUAAGACCCUUCACUAACUUAGAUGACUUCCUCUGGACACCCUCCAGCUU
rnacentral:lncRNA from 1 species